rnacentral:rRNA from 1 species
CACGUGAGCAACCUGCCCCGGACUCUGGGAUAAGCGCUGGAAACGGCGUCUAAUACUGGAUAUGAGACGUGACCGCAUGGUCAACGUUUGGAAAGAUUUUUCGGUCUGGGAUGGGCUCGCGGCCUAUCAGCUUGUUGGUGAGGUAAUGGCUCACCAAGGCGUCGACGGGUAGCCGGCCUGAGAGGGUGACCGGCCACACUGGGACUGAGACACGGCCCAGACUCCUACGGGAGGCAGCAGUGGGGAAUAUUGCACAAUGGGCGAAAGCCUGAUGCAGCAACGCCGCGUGAGGGAUGACGGCCUUCGGGUUGUAAACCUCUUUUAGCAGGGAAGAAGCGAGAGUGACGGUACCUGCAGAAAAAGCGCCGGCUAACUACGUGCCAGCAGCCGCGGUAAUACGUAGGGCGCAAGCGUUAUCCGGAAUUAUUGGGCGUAAAGAGCUCGUAGGCGGUCUGUCGCGUCUGCUGUGAAAUCUGGAGGCUCAACCUCCAGCCUGCAGUGGGUACGGGCAGACUAGAGUGCGGUAGGGGAGAUUGGAAUUCCUGGUGUAGCGGUGGAAUGCGCAGAUAUCAGGAGGAACACCGAUGGCGAAAGCAGAUCUCUGGGCCGUAACUGACGCUGAGGAGCGAAAGGGUGGGGGAGCAAACAGGCUUAGAUACCCUGGUAGUCCACCCCGGUAAACGUUGGGAACUAGUUGUGGGGUCCUUUCCACGAUUCCGUGACGCAGCUAACGCAUUUAAGUUCCCCGCCUGGGGAG